AAUUAUUAUAUAAUAAACAAAAUCAUGUAUCAGUCACAUGCAAUACAUACAUAAUAGUCAGAUAACAAAUAUGUACAUCACACCCAAUGGCGCACUCUCCCAGCAGCGGAUAGAGAGACAUACUCCACGGUAUGGAUUCCUCCCAACGGCGAAGGGAGAAAACACAUAUUACACUCCUAAUAGCAAAUGAAGUGGUAUCCCUCACCCGCUCAAGUGAGUACAUAUUUCUCCCAAUAGCAGAUGGAGGAACCGUCUAAUCGUCACGUUUAACGGCCCACUAAUCCCUGAAGGGAAUCGCCUUACCUGCCCUCGACAAGGAUACAUAAAUAACCAUGAUCAUUCAUUUAUAUUCACUCAUUCAUCCAUACAUCCAUCCAAGAAAUAGUUUGGUACAAUACUAUGAAGGAUCAUGUUUGAUGUAUGAUAUGUUAGACUAUAUCCAUUAGUGGCUGUAUACUAUGAUGAGCCCGUAGCUCCUUUCACAGGUUGCACUUCCAAUGUGGACCACUAACAUAGUCACAUAUACUAUAUGAUAAUAAUUAUAACAAUAUCAUAAACUUAAAAAAAAUAAAAAAUCAAUAAUCAUUUCCAAAUAAUACCUUCAGAUAAAACUUUUAAGUUCAUCAAAUUAUAAAGACAUAAGACAUCAAUUUCUCAAUAGUCCUCAAUCAACUAGAACCCUAAUUAGAAUAGCCCAAUUGACUUGAACCAAACUCAAUUCAAUUAGAACAUAACGGAACCAACCUCAAAUCCUUAUAGAACCGAUUUAGAAUUACCCUAGAUUGGUUUAAUUUAAAUUUGAUUGAUUUUGAUUAGGUCAAAUAGGUUUAAACUAGUCACGUUGGUCUAGAAUCGAUCAAAUAUAUCUGAUUCAGUCAAUUAACGAGCUCAAACCAAUAAAGCGAGAGGUAAUUGGACUAUGUCAUAUAAUGUUAGCCAAACCGAAUCGACCCAUUUGAGUCUUGGACGGGUCACGUGUGUCGCACGUGCCUGUCCCAAGUAAUAUGUUGGGCUGAGAUACAACGGGCUAAAUAGAGGAUGAUAGUAUGUUUAGCACCAAUUGUAUAGUUACGCCGGCCUAACUUCACAAACUAGGCUAAACCUCACUCACAAUUUAGGCUGAGUAUUGCCAUUGAACUAGAUCAUGCUUGGCUCGCGGGUUGGGUCAUGCUUAGACACAUGAGUUGAGGUUGUGUCUAACCACAUGGACUGAGUCGUACCUGCCACAUAAGCUAGACCAUGUCUGGCCACAUGGGUUGGGUCGUACCUUGCCACAUGGAUUGGGUCAUACAUGGCCACAUGGGCUAAGUCAUGUCUAGCUACAUGGGUUAGGUCAACAUUGCCAUAUGGGCUGAGUCCUACAUGGCCACAUGGGCAAGGUCCUACAUAACUAUAGGAGCUGGGUUGUACCCGACCACAUGGGCUAAAUCGUAUAUAACUAAAGGGGCUGGGCCAACCUGGUCUGGCAAAUCAACCUAACUCAAGUCAGACCCCGAUUAGACUCCUCUUAUCAAAUUAGAUUUUAAUAUUUUAAAUUAUUAAAAAAUAACUCAAAUCCAUGAAUUAAAGAAUUUAAAUUUAUGAUCUUAAAUUUAAAACUAAUUAGAUCAUAAAAAUUCACACAUAAUUCUAAAAACAUAGAUAUAUCGAAUUAGAUAAAUUAAACCUAUUAUGGUAAUCCAAAAAAUAAAAUUUUAAUAAUUAAA
rnacentral:lncRNA from 1 species